rnacentral:rRNA from 1 species
GAACGAACGCUGGCGGCGCGUCUUAAGCAUGCAAGUCGAACGGCAAGAGGUAGCAAUACCUCCUAGAGUGGCGGACUGGUGAAUAACACGUGGGUGACAUACCCUUCAGAUGGGGAUAGCUAUUAGAAAUAGUAGAUAAUACCGAAUACGAGCACAGGGGUUAGAGAUCUGUGAGGAAAGGAGCUAAGGCUCCGCUGAAGGAAUGGCCUGCGGCCCAUUAGCUAGUUGGUGAGGUAAGAGCCCACCAAGGCGAUGAUGGGUAUCCGGCCUUAGAGGGUGAACGGACACAUUGGGACUGAGAUACGGCCCAGACUCCUACGGGAGGCAGCAGCUAAGAAUAUUCCGCAAUGGACGAAAGUCUGACGGAGCGACGCCGCCGUGGAUGAAGAAGGCCGGAAGGUUGUAAAAUCCUUUUGAAACUGAAGAAUAAGCGUUGUAGGGAAUGACAGCGUGGUGACAGUAGGUUUUGAAUAAGCAACGGCUAAUUACGUGCCAGCCGCCGC